rnacentral:rRNA from 1 species
AUCGAACGCUGGCGGCAGGCCUAACACAUGCAAGUCGAGCGGAGCGGCGGACGGGUGAGUAAUGCCUAGGAAUCUGCCUGGUAGUGGGGGAUAACGUCCGGAAACGGGCGCUAAUACCGCAUACUAACAGAUGAGCCUCGGUCGGAUUAGCUAGUUGGUGGGGUAAAGGCCUACCAAGGCGACGAACCGUAACUGGUCUGAUAGGAUGAUCGGUCACACGGGAACUGGGACCCGGUCCAGACUCCUACGGGGGGCGGCAGUGGGAAAUAUUGGACAAUGGGCGAAAGCCUGAUCCAGCCAUGCCGCGUGUGUGAAGAGGGUCUUCGGAUUGUAAAGCACUUUAAGUUGGGAGGCGUUACCAACAGAAUAAGCGCCGGCUAACUUCGUGCCAGCAGCCGCGGUAAUAC